AGGAGAGCUGCUGACAGAGGAGAGUGAACCCUGGUAGAGAGAAGCCUGAUGGUGGCAAGAUGCAGUAAACCAGCAGACGCUGACCUGAGACGGUACACAGCCACACAGGAUCAGUAGCGUGUACCGAAGGAGGGGGAGACGCCGCACAUCGGGAGGCUGUCACCCUGCAAAGCAUCAGUGAGGAGAAGUCACCGACAGGAGCCGGCAAUAGCAGCAGACAGUACAGGGCUCUCUUGAAGUGUUCAUCUUUCUGCCACAGGCUUCCGUAUCGCGGAAGUCUGUAGAGCUGUCGAAUCUACUCGUCGCCUGGAAGAUACAGGACAUGGAUGAUCGAAGAGUACUAUCUCAGUGGAGAAAGUAAUAAAUGGAAAUGUCUAGUGGAGUCUUUUUCCC